CGGUUGAUCCUGCCGGAGGACAUUGCUAUUGGGAUUCGAUUUAGCCAUGCUAGUCGAACGAGUUCAGACUCGUGGCGAAUAGCUCAGUAACACGUGGCCAAGCUCCCCUUCAGUCAGCGAUACCCUCGGGAAACUGAGGUUAACAGCUGAUACAAAGCGCCAGCUGGAAUGCGGCGUUUCAGAAAGACAUCGCUGAAGGAUGCGGCUGCGGCCGAUUAGGUAGACGGUGGGGUGACGGCCCACCGUGCCAGUAAUCGGUACGGGUGAUGAGAGUCAGAGCCCGGAGACGGAAUCUGAGACAAGAUUCCGGGCCCUACGGGGCGCAGCAGGCGCGAAACCUUUACACUGCAUGGAAGUGCGAUAGGGGAAUCCCAAGUGCGAGGGCAUAUUAGCCCUCGCUUUUCUCGACUGUAAGGUGGUCUACGAAUAAGGGCUGGGCAAGACCGGUGCCAGCCGCCGCGGUAACACCGGCAGCCCAAGUGAUGGCCGAUAUUAUUGGGCCUAAAGCGUCCGUAGCUGGCCGCGCAAGUUCGUCGGGAAAUCCACUCGCUUAACGAGUGGGCGUCCGGCGAAAACUGUGCGGCUUGGGACCGGAAGAUCCAAGGGGUACGUCCGGGGUAGGAGUGAAAUCCCGUAAUCCUGGACGGACCACCGAUGGCGAAAGCACCUUGGAAGGACGGAUCCGACAGUGAGGGACGAAAGCUAGGGUCUCGAACCGGAUUAGAUACCCCGGUAGUC
rnacentral:rRNA from 1 species